GAUGAACGCUGGCGGCGUGCUUAACACAUGCAAGUCGAACGGAAAGGCUCCUGCUUGCAGGGGUACUCGAGUGGCGAACGGGUGAGUAACACGUGGGUGAUCUGCCCUGCACUUCGGGAUAAGCCUGGGAAACUGGGUCUAAUACCGGAUAGGACGAUGGCUUGGAUGCCAUUGUGGAAAGUUUUUUCGGUGUGGGAUGAGCUCGCGGCCUAUCAGCUUGUUGGUGGGGUAAUGGCCUACCAAGGCGUCGACGGGUAGCCGGCCUGAGAGGGUGUACGGCCACAUUGGGACUGAGAUACGGCCCAGACUCCUACGGGAGGCAGCAGUGGGGAAUAUUGCACAAUGGGCGCAAGCCUGAUGCAGCGACGCCGCGUGGGGGAUGACGGCCUUCGGGUUGUAAACUCCUUUCGCUAGGGACGAAGCGCAAGUGACGGUACCUGGAGAAGAAGCACCGGCUAACUACGUG
rnacentral:rRNA from 1 species